ACUAGUAGUAGCUAAACAAAUAAAAUAAACAUAUGCUAAAUAAAUAAAAGGGAUAAUUGCUUAUAUACUUCUCAUACGUUUGAAAAUAUUCAAUUUGCCCAUUUUUCUUUCUUUCUAAAAUACCUCUCAUAUGUUCCACUUUAACUUGGGUUAAACAUGAGUUAAAUAUCUAUCACAGUUAAAAAAAAUUAAAAUGCCAAUUUUGCUCUUAACUUAAAGGCAAAUAAGAAAAAAGUUGGUGAUGACAGAGGGGUAUAUUGAAAAAAAUCAAAAAUCAAAAUAUUUUUUGUGCCCUUGACUUUAAGGGCAAAUAAGAAAGACAGUGAUAGUGGAAUGGUAUAUUUGAAAGGGCAAAAUAAUAAUUUUACAGAGAUAACAGAGUUAAUUAAUAGAUUUUAACUCUAGGAGUACAUUAGAAAUAGGUUGGAACGUAAAAAGGGUAAUUUCAAUAUUAGCCUUCUAAGAGGGGUAAAUUAGAAAGUCGGAAACUUUUCAGGGAUAUAUACGCAAUU
rnacentral:lncRNA from 1 species